rnacentral:tRNA from 1 species
GGGCCAGCAGAGCAGUCCGGAGUGCUCGUCGCUCUCUCACAGCGAAGAUCGCGGGUUCGAUUCCCGCCUGGCCUA